rnacentral:rRNA from 1 species
UACGUAGGGUGCGAGCGUUGUCCGGAAUUAUUGGGCGUAAAGGGCUCGUAGGCGGUCUGUUGCGUCGGGAGUGAAAACUCAGGGCUUAACCCUGAGCCUGCUUCCGAUACGGGCAGACUAGAGGUAUGCAGGGGAGAACGGAAUUCCUGGUGUAGCGGUGAAAUGCGCAGAUAUCAGGAGGAACACCGGUGGCGAAGGCGGGUCUCUGGGCCGAUACUGACGCUGAGGAGCGAAAGCGCGGGGAGCGAACAGG